CUCAUUUCAUAAUUCCACACUUACCAACUGGAAUAAGACUACAUUGGCACAUUCAUAAUUUGAAGUUCGAAAGUUGAAAGAAGACAACAUUGCCACAUGCUCUAAACUACUACAAACUGGAAUUGCGUUGCCACUACAUUACGCUACAUAAACACAUGCCGUACUACACACUAAUACAACGACUCAAGUUUCACAUUCCAAGUCCUUCUCAUCUUCCGAAACUCGUGUCCCCUUGCACAUCUUUAUGUUCAGGGAAAUCUCCAAAUCCUUCUCAUCCGUUAGAUUAGCGAGCGGAUUUCAACAUAUGCGACAAAUCAUCCACAUGCUCAGUUUCGUUUGUAAUGCCACUUGAGUCCCCAUCGUCAUGCACUAUACAUUUUUCAUUGGGUUUAUUUUUACACCAUUUGAAGAAUUUGCAAUAGCGGGUAUAACAAUGAAACGAUAGCCCUUUAUGCUCAUUGUUCUUUUUCACCUCCAUCCAUUUGACGAAUCCUACACCGUAGUUGGGCAUCUUCUCUUUUUGGGGCAUUCCAACAUCGUAUGUCCCGACAUUCUACAACAAUGACAAAUUCCCCUAUUCUUGCCCGCCAUCCCAGUAUCCUGGUUCAACCACAUCAAGGAACUAAUGAAUGUUGCAACUAAUUCAAUGUCUAAUUCAAAUUACAGAAGAAUUCUACCAUUAAAG
rnacentral:lncRNA from 1 species